GAGUUCUCGUUGAUGAUCGGUGCUUGCACCGAGAUUCAACAUGGAACGAGUGGCGGACGGGUGAGUAACACGUGGGUAACCUGCCCUUAAGUGGGGGAUAACAUUUGGAAACAGAUGCUAAUACCGCAUAGAUCCAAGAACCGCAUGGUUCUUGGCUGAAAGAUGGCGUAAGCUAUCGCUUUUGGAUGGACCCGCGGCGUAUUAGCUAGUUGGGGAGGUAAUGGCUCACCAAGGCGAUGAUACGUAGCCGAACUGAGAGGUUGAUCGGCCACAUUGGGACUGAGACACGGCCCAAACUCCUACG
rnacentral:rRNA from 2 species